GACCCAGAGAGCCAGUUUGAGUGCCCAAACACCCGCUGCAUCUUGGUCAGCAACGUCUGUGACUCCCACUGUGACUGUCUUCCUGACUGUGCUGACGAGGUCAACUGUACAGACUCCACCUACACCGUCACUGACGGUGUGAGGGUGUGUGAGGUGGGCGCCUCACUCACCUGCUCCGUGGCCAGCCUCGACCGUGUCCUCGACAGGUGCAUCGCCCCCACCUACGUCUGCGACGGCACCAACGACUGCCACAAUGGCGGCUACCUCUCCGACGAGACGGGCUGUGGGGAGGCGAGGUGUGACGGGGAGCGAGAGGAGGUGUUCCGGUGUGGUGACGGCCGCUGUCUCCCCUCAACCCUCCGCUGCGACCACAAGUACGACUGUCUUCACGGCGACGACGAACACAACUGCUCACGAUCUGAGUGCAGCAGUUCUGAGUGGCAGUGUGCGAGCGGCCAGUGUAUCCCUGCCGUCGCUCGCUGUGACCUCCAAUAUCAGUGCUAUGAUCAGUCAGACGAGGUCAAUUGCGGUAGGUA